NNCCAGCUGACGAGUUCCAAAUAGGACGAAAUGCGCAUCCUGGAU
rnacentral:hammerhead_ribozyme from 1 species